rnacentral:rRNA from 1 species
AGAGUUUGAUCCUGGCUCAGAUUGAACGCUGGCGGAACGCUUUACACAUGCAAGUCGAACGGUAACGUGGGGAGGAGCUUGCUCCACCCCGACGACGAGUGGCGAACGGGUGAGUAAUACAUCGGAACGUGUCCGCUCGUGGGGGACAACCAGCCGAAAGGUUGGCUAAUACCGCAUGAGUUCUACGGAAGAAAGAGGGGGACCCGCAAGGGCCUCUCGCGAGCGGAGCGGCCGAUGACUGAUUAGCCGGUUGGUGAGGUAACGGCUCACCAAAGCAACGAUCAGUAGCUGGUCUGAGAGGACGACCAGCCACACUGGGACUGAGACACGGCCCAGACUCCUACGGGAGGCAGCAGUGGGGAAUUUUGGACAAUGGGCGCAAGCCUGAUCCAGCUAUUCCGCGUGUGGGAUGAAGGCCCUCGGGUUGUAAACCACUUUUGUAGAGAACGAAAAGACACCUUUUAAUAAAGGGUGUUGCUGACGGUACUCUAAGAAUAAGCACCGGCUAACUACGUGCCAGCAGCCGCGGUAAUACGUAGGGUGCGAGCGUUAAUCGGAAUUACUGGGCGUAAAGGGUGCGCAGGCGGUUGAGUAAGACAGAUGUGAAAUCCCCGAGCUUAACUCGGGAAUGGCAUAUGUGACUGCUCGACUAGAGUGUGUCAGAGGGAGGUGGAAUUCCACGUGUAGCAGUGAAAUGCGUAGAUAUGUGGAAGAACACCGAUGGCGAAGGCAGCCUCCUGGGACAUAACUGACGCUCAGGCACGAAAGCGUGGGGAGCAAACAGGAUUAGAUACCCUGGUAGUCCACGCCCUAAACGAUGUUAACUAGUUGUUGGGAAGUAAUAUUCUCAGUAACGCAGCCAACGCGAGAAGUUAACCGCCUGGGAAGUACGGUCGCAAGACUAAAACUCAAAGGAAUUGACGGGGACCCGCACAAGCGGUGGAUGAUGUGGAUUAAUUCGAUGCAACGCGAAAAACCUUACCUACCCUUGACAUGUCAGGAAGCUCUUGUAAUGAGAGCGUGCCCGCAAGGGAGCCUGAACACAGG